GGCCUACGGGAGGCAGCAGUGGGGAAUAUUGGACAAUGGGCCCAAGCCUGAUCCAGCAAUGCCGCGUGUGUGAAGAAGGCCUUCGGGUUGUAAAGCACUUUUAUCAGGAGCGAAAUACCAUUGGUUAAUAACCGAGUGGUAAUGACAGUACAGAGAGAGACCGACCG
rnacentral:rRNA from 1 species